AUACUGAGGGUGCAAGCGUUAAUCGGAUUUACUGGGCGUAAAGAGAUCGUAGGUGGUUUAUCAAGUCGGAUGUGAAAUCCCGGGGCUCAACCCCGGAACUGCAUUCGAUACUGGUAGACUUGAGUUCGGGAGGGGGAUGCGGAAUUCCGCGUGUAGCAGUGAAAUGCGUAGAUAUGCGGAGGAACACCAGAGGCGAAGGCGGCAUCCUGGACCGAUACUGACACUGAGGAUCGAAAGCGUGGGUAGCAAACAGGAUUAGAAACCCCGGUAGUCC
rnacentral:rRNA from 1 species